UACGAAGGGGGCUAGCGUUGCUCGGAAUCACUGGGCGUAAAGGGUGCGUAGGCGGGUUUUUAAGUCAGAGGUGAAAUCCUGGAGCUCAACUCCAGAACUGCCUUUGAUACUGAAAGUCUUGAGUAUGGGAGAGGUGAGUGGAACUGCGAGUGUAGAGGUGAAAUUCGUAGAUAUUCGCAAGAACACCAGUGGCGAAGGCGGCUCACUGGCCCAUUACUGACGCUGAGGCACGAAAGCGUGGGGAGCAAACAGG
rnacentral:rRNA from 2 species